UACGUAGGGUGCGAGCGUUGUCCGGAAUUAUUGGGCGUAAAGAGCUUGUAGGCGGUCUGUCGCGUCUGCUGUGAAAAUCCGGGGGCUCAACCCCCGGACUUGCAGUGGGGUACGGGCAGACUAGAGUGUGGUAGGGGGAGACUGGAAUUCCUGGUGUAGCGGUGAAAUGCGCAGAUAUCAGGAGGAACACCGAUGGCGAAGGCAGCUCGC
rnacentral:rRNA from 1 species